rnacentral:rRNA from 1 species
GGUGAACGCUGGCGGCGUGCUUGACACAUGCAAGUCGAACGGUAUGUGGCAACACAUAGAGUGGCGAACGGGUGAGUAACACGUGGGAACGUACCCUCUGCAGGGGGAUAACUGACCGAAAGGACAGCUAAUACCGCAUAAGACCGAGAGGAGAAAGGUGCAACAGCAUCGGCAGAGGAGCGGCCCGCGGACCAUCAGCUAGUUGGUGGGGUAAGAGCCUACCAAGGCAACGACGGAUAGCCGGCGUGAGAGCGUGGCCGGCCACAAGGACACUGAGAUACGGGUCCUACUCCUACGGGAGGCAGCAGUGCGGAAUUUUAGAUAAUGGAGGCAACUCUGAUCUAGCGACGCCGCGUGCAGGAAGAAGGUCUUCGGAUUGUAAACUGCUGUGGUAAGGGAAAAAUGCCAUGUAGAGUGGAAAGCUACAUGGAGGGAUGGUACUUUACUAGAAAGCCCCGGCUAACUACGUGCCAGCAGCCGCGGUAAUACGUAGGGGGCGAGCGUUACCCGGAAUCACUGGGCGUAAAGGGAGCGUAGGUGGCCUGACAUGUCGACUGUGAAAACCCGGAGCUCAACUCCGGACUUGCAGUUGAAACUGCCAGGCUUGAGGACGGUAGAGGAAGACGGAACUGCCAGUGUAGGGGUAAAAUCCUUAGAUAUUGGCAGGAACGCCGGUGACGAAGGUGGUUUUCUGGGCCGGUUCUGACACUGAUGCUCGAAAGCCAGGGGAGCGAACG